rnacentral:tRNA from 1 species
CUGGGUGUAGCUCAGGGGUAGAGCACAACCUUGCCAAGGUUGGGGUCGAGGGUUCGAAUCCCUUCGCCCGCUCCA